rnacentral:rRNA from 1 species
UCUGGAUUGGACUGCGGCCGAUCAGGCUGUUGGUGAGGUAAUGGCCCACCAAACCUGUAACCGGUACGGGCUCUGAGAGGAGGAGCCCGGAGAUGGGCACUGAGACAAGGGCCCAGGCCCUAUGGGGCGCAGCAGGCGCGAAACCUCUGCAAUAGGCGAAAGCCUGACAGGGUUACUCUGAGUGACUUUCGCUAAGAAAGUCUUUUGGCACCUCUAAAAAGGGUGCAGAAUAAGGGGUGGGCAAGUCUGGUGUCAGCCGCCGCGGUAAUACCAGCACCCCGAGUGGUCGGGACGAUUAUUGGGCCUAAAGCAUCCGUAGCCGGUUCUGCAAGUCCCCCGUUAAAUCCAGCUGCUCAACAGAUGGGCCGCGGAGGAUACUACAGAGCUAGGAGGCAGGAGAGGCAAGCGGUACUCAAUGGGUAGGGGUAAAAUCCGUUGAUCCAUUGAAGACCACCAGUGGCGAAGGCGGCUUGCCAGAAUGCGCUCGACGGUGAGGGAUGAAAGCUGGGGGAGCAAACCGGAUUAGAUACCCGGGUAGUCCCAGCCGUAAACGAUGCAGACUCGGUGAUGGGUUGGCUUCGCGCUAACCCAGUG